UACGUAGGGCGCAAGCGUUGUCCGGAAUUAUUGGGCGUAAAGAGCUCGUAGGCGGCUUGUCACGUCGGAUGUGAAAGCCCGGGGCUUAACUCCGGGUCUGCAUUCGAUACGGGCUGGCUAGAGUGUGGUAGGGGAGAUCGGAAUUCCUGGUGUAACGGUGAAAUGCGCAGAUAUCAGGAGGAACACCGGUGGCGAAGGCGGAUCUCUGGGCCAUUACUGACGCUGAGGAGCGAAAGCGUGGGGAGCGAACAGG
rnacentral:rRNA from 1 species